AUGCCUAGAUCCAGCGGUGUGGGAUUUCGAAUCGGUUCCCCAGCCACCAUGGAGGAACGGAGGGGGAGAUUCCAGAACUUAAUCACCCUUCAUCAAGAGGGAAGUGAGGUGGGUGGCCUGGCGCAAUUGUUUUGGACUAUGGCAGUCGGGCUAGGUUACAAUGAUGCAGCACUAAAGGAUUUAUUUAAUAAUUGCCUGGAUGAUCCUUUACCUCCAUGGGAGAUGAAGGGGUUAGAGAUACUGGACUUUUGGGGGUUUACCAAUUACCUGCACCAUCGUGCCCAGUGGGAUGCAACAACCACACCAGAGUGUCCAGACAAGGCUGCCAGCUCAGCCCCACAGCACAAGAUGGGCGCCAGCCCAACCCCACAGCACAGGAUGGCCGCCAACCCAGCCCCACAACCCAAGAUGGCCACCAGCCCAGCCCCACAGCCCAAGAUGGCCGCCAACCUAGCGUCACAGCCCAAGAUGGCCGCCAGCCCAGCACCACAGCACAAGAUGGCCGACUCAACGCCACCGACUCCCCAUCGUAGAGGGCGGAGGAGGAGACAGGCAGCUGCUGUUCCCGAGGCGGAGCCCGAGGCAGUUCCCGAGGCGGUGCCCGAUGCUGUUUCCGAGGCGGUGCCCGAUGCAGUUCCCGAGGCGGAGCCCGAUGCAGUUCCCGAGGCGGUGCCCGAUGCAGUUCCCGAGGCGGUGCCCGAUGCUGUUUCCGAGGCGGUGCCCGAUGCAGUUCCCGAGGCGGUGCCCGAUGCUGUCUCCGAGGCGGUGCCCGAUGCUGUUCCCGAGGCCGAGGCGGUGCCCGAUGCUGUUCCCGAGGCCGAGGUCGUUCUCGGGGCGGUGCCCGAUGCUGUUCCCGAGGCGGAGCCCGAUGCAGUUCCCGAGGCGGUGCCCGAUGCUGUCUCCGAGGCGGUGCCCGAUGCUGUUCCCGAGGCCGAGGCGGUGCCCGAUGCUGUUCCCGAGGCCGAGGCAGUUCCCGAGGCGGAGCCCGAUGCAGUUCCCGAGGCGAAGCCCGAUGCAGUUCCCGAUGCAGUUCCCGAGGCGGUGCCCGAUGCAGUUCCCGAGGCGGUGCCCGAUGCAGUUCCCGAGGCGGAGCCCGAUGCAGUUCCCGAGGCGGUGCCCGAUGCAGUUCCCGAGGCGGUGCCCGAUGCUGUUUCCGAGGCGGUGCCCGAUGCAGUUCCCGAGGCGGUGCCCGAUGCAGUUCCCGAGGCGAAGCCCGAUGCAGUUCCCGAUGCAGUUCCCGAGGCGGUGCCCGAUGCUGUUUCCGAGGCGGUGCCCUAUGCAGUUCCCGAGGCGGAGCCCGAUGCAGUUCCCGAGGCGGUGCUCGAUGCAGUUCCCGAGGCGGUGCUCGAUGCAGUUCCCGAGGCGGUGCCCGAUGCAGUUCCCGAGGCGGUGCCCGAUGCAGUUCCCGAGGCGGUGCCCGAUGCUGUUCCCGAGGCGGUGCCCGAUGCAGUUCCCGAGGCGGUGCCCGAUGCAGUUCCCGAGGCGGUGCCCGAUGCUGUUCCCGAGGCGGAGCCCGAUGCAGUUCCCGAGGCGGUGCCCGAUGCUGUUUCCGAGGCGGUGCUCGAUGCAGUUCCCGAGGCGGUGCCCGAUGCAGUUCCCGAGGCGGUGCCCGAUGCAGUUCCCGAGGCGGUGCCCGAUGCUGUUCCCGAGGCGGAGCCCGAUGCUGUUCCCGAGGCGGUGCCCGAUGCUGUUCCCGAGGCCGAGGUCGUUCCCGAGGCGGUGCCCGAUGCUGUUCCCGAGGCGGAGCCCGAUGCAGUUCCCGAGGCGGUGCCCGAUGCUGUUCCCGAGGCGGUGCCCGAUGCUGUUCCCGAGGCGGUGCCCGAUGCUGUUCCCGAGGCGGUGCCCGAUGCUGUUCCCGAGGCGGUGCCCGAUGCUGUUCCCGAGGCGGUGCCCGAUGCUGUUCCCGAGGCGGUGCCCGAUGCAGUUCCCGAGGCGGUGCCCGAUGCAGUUCCCGAGGCGGUGUCCGUUACAGUUCCCGAGGCGGUGACCACAAGGCCGUGGUGGUCUUCGGCUCCGCCCUGGGAGACUCUGGCGGUGACCACGAGGACGUGGUGGUCAUCCGUUCCGCCCUGGGGGACUCUGGCGGUGACCACGAGGACGUGGUGGUCGUCCGCUCCACCCUGGGGGACUCUGGUGAUGACCAUGAGGACAUGGUGGUCUUCUGCUCCGCCCUGGUGGACUCCGGCCUCGACCACAGAGACGUGGUGGUCUUCCGCUCCGCCCUGGAGGAUUUUGACUUUGACCACAAGGCCAUGGUGGUCUUCCGCUCCGCCCUGGAGGGCUCUGGCCUUGACCACACGGCUGUGGUGGUCAUCUGCUCCGUCCUAG
ensembl:lncRNA